GAAUACUUGAUUCCAAGAAAAAUUUAAAAAUGAAUUCAAAGGUUAGGUACACACAAAAUUUCUUUGAGAAAUGGUGAUGGGUGUGAAUAUGAAAGUGAAGGUCUUCCAGCAAGACAAAAUUGUGAUGCAAAUCAUAUACUUGUUAAUGGUUUUUUCUAUUGACCAGAAAGAUAUGAGUUGGGUUUGGUAAUAUAAUAGAUAUUAAGCAGGAAUAAAAUAUAAAGAUGACGAAAUUAGAUGGGAUUAUUAUAAUAUAAGAGAUUUGUCAAGUCUACUUGGUAAUCGAACGAGUUUGUAAAGUAUGCCCAAGGAAGUCCGCUUGCUCUUAUAGUUCUGGGUUCUAAUUUAUAUCAAAAGUCUAGAGCAGAGUGGGAAAGUGAGGUGGAUAUAUAAACUAAAGGAAUAACCAAAAAUUUCACGGAUUUUGAGUAAUAGUUUUGAUGAUUUGGAUGAACUAGAGAAGAAUAUAUUCCUUGAUAUUGCAAUCUUGUUUGAAGGAACAUCAGAAAAAGAUGUAAAAAAAUUUCUAAGUUGUUGUUACAAAGGUGUUGUGUGUGGAAUAAGCAACUUGAUCGACAAGUACCUACUUGUUAGAUCAUAUUUUGGAUUGAUUGAUAUGCAUGAUAUGCUUCAAGAGAUGGGCAAAGACAUUGUUCGCCAAGAAUCUAUGGACCCUGGAAGGCAUAGUAGGCUAUGGAAGGCUAAAGACGUGUAUCAAGUGUUGAGAUAUAAUAAUAGUCUUGUUAAUUUAAGGGAAAUUUACGUUGCUGAUUGCAAGAAAUUAAGGAAGGUUCCUAGUCUAUUAGGAGCAAUCAACCUUGAAAUCCUUGACUGUAGGCGGUGUGAGUUUGGUUGAACUUCCUUGCCUCAAUCAUUUGGCAUCACUUAAAGAACUCGAACUUAGCGGAUGUCAUAACCUCAAGACGUUUCCCGAGGUCCCAAAACACUUUCCUAUUUUAGAAUUAAGUGAAACAAAAAUAAAAGAAGUGCCUGAUUCAAUUGAGCAUCUCGUCGGACUUCAAAAAUUAUGCCUGAAAAACUCGAAGGUCAAUAUUCUAUCAAGCAAUAUUUCAAAGUUGGAAUCCCUUCGUCAUCUGAAUCUUAGUCAUUGCCCAAUGAUCGAAUUCCCAGAAAUCCCAAGAAGCUUAAGAGAAUUAGAUUUAUCUGGGACUCAAAUUAAAGAAGCCACCUUGUCUAUAGACUCUUUAAAUAAUCUUCAGAGGUUAAAGAUGAGCUGCUCAAGUAUUCAAAAGCUACAAUGCAAUAUCAUCCUGUUCGGUUCAAGAGAGAUUUCAACAGUUGAUGUGUCCUCACCAAUCUUGAUAUCUGAAACCAUUCAUAGGUUGGAAAUGGAUCAUUGCGAGAGUCUUAAAAUACUCUCAGAGCUUCCACCAUAUAUGCGGAACUUGGAUGCACGUGGCUGUACAUCAUUAGAAAAGCUUGAAUCAAGAUUCAAUUGAAAACAUUGAGGCAAAUGCCAUGCUCAAAUUUGGGUACCUAGCAGAGAAACAGAGAGUGAUAUGGGAGUAUCCCUAUUUUAGUUAAGGAUUAUUUUGCUGUUUCCCAGGAAACAAAAUUUCAGCAAAUAAGUUCGAGCAUCAAAGCACGAGUUCUUCAUUAGUUUUGAAGAUAGCCCCAAAAGGGUCCAAUGGGAGCAGAUUCUUGGUCUUUUCCAUCUGCCUUGUGGUCGAUCUCACGCUCUGCUACUACCAUGAAUAUCUUACAUUUUACUGUGAAUGCCAAUUCAAAACCGGCAGUGGUGGUGAUUAUGAAACGUUCAGAAGUCAGUGGAAGUCCUUUCUAAACGAAGACUCGAAUUGGAGGUAUAUGGGUGAUCAUGUGCUGAUUCUGUUUAGUAAGAAUAUGGUUAAACAAGACAAGGAUUAUGAGGAGGCUUCAUUUGAAUUCUACAUUCAAAAUCUCCCUUCCUCAGAAGAAGAAGAUGAAGAAGACGAAGAAGAAACUGAAGACGAAAAUAUAAAGGUGGAGAAAUGUGGUGUACAUGUAUCCUAUGUGGAUGAAGAAACCAGCACCACCCCCACAACAUGAAAGUCCUAGCCACACUUAAGCACUAAACCUAAUUCUUCAGUUGCAUAAGGAAUGAAGAUGACAGAACAGAGACAAUAGGGAAUGACAAAUCUUUGGAGCUUUAAUGAUGCCACUGCUUAAUUGGAGUUUUAGCCAUUCAAGGAGGAACAACUAAGCUGUAAGAAGUUUAACUUGUUUUACUGAAUUCUUACUUUAUACAAGUGUUUGAACUGAGAUUUUGAGACAACGCAAGUUGUCAACAGAUUUUCCUUCUUCAUUCUAUUCAACAUGGUGCAACUUAAUAUUUUCUUUUCUUGGAUUUUGACUAUCAUAUCAAUUUGGGCUUAAAUUUCAUUGUAUGUAACUGCCUCUCAAGUUGUUUGAGCAUUGUAGUGAGGAGAUAUGUAAGAUUCAUACCGACUAGUUGUGGAUUGGUUUUAAUUCAUAGGGAAUUAAUGGUACAUCUUUGGAAAGGCCAUUAUAGUUGGAGCUUUAACUAUACGAAAGAGGAGUAACAAAGAUAGCGCUGUUGAAUUGCAGUGAAAUUUUCAAUUAUGGAGUUUGGAGAUUUCAAUGCAUUACCACAAAACUUCUACUGCCAUGGAAUUCAAUUUUAAGCAAUCAAAUGAUAGUUGAGAUUUUAGAAUGAAGUUACUGAUGGCAUGAUCAAAACUUCUACUGUUGGAUUCAUAAGUUUACAGCUGUUUGAAGAACCUCCAUUAUCAAUACAGGGGAUAUUGCUGGCUGAUCGCAAUCAUGCUUUUACAUUGCUCUAGUUUCAUGUUUUAUAUUGUAAUCGCUUAAUAUUGUUCUUUUUUAUCGAAAAAAGAAUAGUUGAGAUUUAAUUAUACAGUAUCUCCAUUAAUUUUCCUUCAAUGAUUAUUAAUUUUUCCUUAAAAA